AUUGUUUCUUGGCAUUUUGGCCUAGAUCAAGUGUAGUAUCUGUUCUUAUCAGUUUUUGGGAGGAAGAAAGCUGGUGCCUCCUAGCAUAGAGGGGGUGCUGGUUAGUAUUUUCCUAAUGUAGUAAUUUGGGAAUGGUGGGAGGGAUCCUUUUCCUUAUGGAUUGAAUCUGGCCUGGUCAGAAGGCAGGAUUCUCCCUAA